rnacentral:rRNA from 1 species
GGGAAGAUAUAAAGUGGCGCACGGGUGAGUAACACGUAGGUAAUGUGCCUUUGGGUGGGGAAUAACUUAGGGAAACUUAAGCUAAUACCGCAUAAUGCAGCGGCUCCUUCGGGAGACAGUUGUUAAAGCGUUUACGCGCCUAAAGAGCAGCCUGCGGCAGAUUAGCUAGUUGGUAAGGUAAUGGCUUACCAAGGCGACGAUCUGUAUCCGACCUGAGAGGGUGGUCGGACACACUGACACUGAAUAACGGGUCAGACUCCUACGGGAGGCAGCAGUCGGGAAUUUUGGGCAAUGGGCGAAAGCCUGACCCAGCAACGCCGCGUGAAGGAUGAAGUCUUUCGGGAUGUAAACUUCGUAAGAAUAGGAAGAAUAAAUGACGGUACUAUUUGUAAGGUCCGGCUAACUACGUGCCAGCAGCCGCGGUAAUACGUAGGGACCAAGCGUUGUUCGGAUUUACUGGGCGUAAAGGGCGCGUAGGCGGCGUGUCAAGUCAAUUGUGAAAUCUCCGAGCUUAACUCGGAACGGUCAAUUGAUACUGAUGUGCUAGAGUGCAGAAGGGGCAAUCGGAAUUCUUGGUGUAGCGGUGAAAUGCGUAGAUAUCAAGAGGAACACCUGAGGUGAAGACGGGUUGCUGGGCUGACACUGACGCUGAGGCGCGAAAGCUAGGGUAGCAAACGGGAUUAGAUACCCCGGUAGUCCUAGCCCUAAACGAUGAAUACUUGGUGUCUGGAGUUUUAAUUCUCCGGGUGC